CUCGCAGCCCCUUCCCGCGUCACAGAGCCGGCUCCCAGCUCGGGCGGUGGGCUCCCGGCGCGGGCCGAUCGGCACUGACGCGCGCGGAGCACGGGGCUCCUGGCGGUGGCGCCUCAGUUUCCCCCACCGAAACCCUGGUUGCCGGGGUGUGCCUCGCGGGCGGUAAGGAAACCGAGGCACAGAUGGGUUCAAUCACGCGCCCUCAGCUGGAGAGGGAGUCCCUUCACUCAGCACCGUGCCAUCUUGCUUCUUGUCCAGUGUUGCUCCGUGUCUAAAAUGCAACUUGAAAAAAAUAAAAAUAAAUAAAAUGCAGCUUGACGUACUGAAG